rnacentral:rRNA from 1 species
CAGUGUACGUCAGACUUCCAAGAAAAGCUCGCAAUGUCAUAAAUAAAGAAUGCCUGUACCAUAACCGACACAGGUGGGUAGGUAGAGUAUACUAAGGGGCGCGAGAUAACUCUCUCUAAGGAACUCGGCAAAAUGACUCCGUAACUUCGGGAGAAGGAGUGCCUUAUUUAUAAGGUUGCAAUAACAAGAUCCAAGCAACUGUUUAUCAAAAACACAGGUCUCCGCUAAGUCGUAAGACGAUGUAUGGGGGCUGACGCCUGCCCAGUGCCAGAAGGUUAAAGAAGUUGGUUAGUGUAUGCGAAGCUGAUGACUGAAGCCCUGGUGAACGGCGGCCGUAACAAUAACGGUCCUAAGGUAGCAAAAUUCCUUGUCGGGUAAGUUCCGACCCGCACGAAAGGCGUAAUGAUUUGGAUACUGUCUCGGAGAGAGGCUCGGUGAAAUAGACUUGUCUGUGAAGAUGCGGACUACCUGCACCAGGACAGAAAGACCCUAUGAAGCUUUACUGUAACUUGAAAUUGGAAUUGGACUUUGCUUGCGCAGUAUAGGUGGGAAGCGUUGAAGAUAUUCUUGCGGGAGUAUUGGAGCUAUCAGUGAGAUACCACUCUUGUAAUGUUAGAUUUCUAACUUUGAACCAUAAUCUGGUCAAAGAACAGUUUCAGGUGGGCAGUUUGACUGGGGCGGUCGCCUCCCAAAUGGUAACGGAGGCGUACAAAGGUUUCCUCUGAACGGAUAGAAAUCGUAUCUAGAGUGUAAAGGCAUAAGGAAGCUUGACUGUGAGACCUACAAGUCGAGCAGGGACGAAAGUCGGUCUUAGUGAUCUGACGGUACUGAGUGGAAAGGCCGUCACUCAACGGAUAAAAGUUACUCUAGGAUAACAGGCUGAUCUCCCCCAAGAGUUCACAUCGACGGGGAGGUUUGGCACCUCGAUGUCGGCUCAUCGCAUCCUGGGGCGGUAGUACGUCCCAAGGGUUGGGCUGUUCGCCCAUGAAAGCGGUACGCGAGCUGGGUUCAGAACGUCGUGAGACAGUUCGGUCCAUAUCCGGUGUAGGCGUUAGAAUAUUGAGAGGAGCCUUCUUUAGUACGAGAGGACCGAGAAGGACACACCGCUGGUGUACCAGUUAUCGUGCCAACGGUAAACGCUGGGUAGCUAUGUGUGGAGUGGAUAACCGCUGAAAGCAUCUAAGUGGGAAGCCCACCUCGAGAUGAGUAUUCUCAU